CCUACGGGGUGCAGCAGUGAGGAAUAUUGGUCAAUGGACGAGAGUCUGAACCAGCCAAGUAGCGUGAAGGAUGACUGCCCUAUGGGUUGUAAACUUCUUUUAUAUGGGAAUAAAAUGUUCCACGUGUGGGAUUUUGUAUGUACCAUAUGAAUAAGGAUCGGCUAACUCCGUGCCAGCAGCCGCGGUAAUACGGAGGAUCCGAGCGUUAUCCGGAUUUAUUGGGUUUAAAGGGAGCGUAGGUGGAUUGUUAAGUCAGUUGUGAAAGUUUGCGGCUCAACCGUAAAAUUGCAGUUGAAACUGGCAGUCUUGAGUGCAGUAGAGGUGGGCGGAAUUCGUGGUGUAGCGGUGAAAUGCUUAGAUAUCACGAAGAACUCCGAUUGCGAAGGCAGUUCACUGGACUGCAACUGACACUGAGGCUCGAAAGUGUGGGUAUCAAACAGGAUUAGAUACCCGGGUAGUC
rnacentral:rRNA from 1 species